rnacentral:rRNA from 1 species
UAGAGUUUUGRWCCUGGYUCAGAGCGAACGCUGGCGGCAGGCUUAACACAUGCAAGUCGAGCGGGCCCUUCGGGGUCAGCGGCGGACGGGUGAGUAACGCGUGGGAACGUGCCUUCUGGUUCGGAAUAACCCUGGGAAACUAGGGCUAAUACCGGAUACGCCCUUUUGGGGAAAGGUUUACUGCCGGAAGAUCGGCCCGCGUCUGAUUAGCUAGUUGGUGGGGUAACGGCCUACCAAGGCGACGAUCAGUAGCUGGUCUGAGAGGAUGAUCAGCCACACUGGGACUGAGACACGGCCCAGACUCCUACGGGAGGCAGCAGUGGGGAAUAUUGGACAAUGGGCGCAAGCCUGAUCCAGCCAUGCCGCGUGAGUGAUGAAGGCCUUAGGGUUGUAAAGCUCUUUUAUCCGGGACGAUAAUGACGGUACCGGAGAAUAGUCCGA